rnacentral:rRNA from 1 species
CCCUUAGAUGUUCUGGGCUGCACGCGCGCUACACUGAAGCUAUCAACACGUUUUCCCUCCCUGAGAAGGGCGGGUAACCUUUUGAAUCAGCUUCGUGGUAGGGAUCGGGGCUUUCAAUUGUUCCCCGUGAACCAGGAAUUCCUAGUAGACGCGAGUCAUAAGCUCGCAUCGAUUAAGUCCCUGCCCUUUGUACACACCGCCCGUCGCUACUACCGAUUGAACGUUUUAGUGAGGCAUUUGGACCGACGCAUCUCAGUUUAACCGCUGGUUUGUGUUGGAAAGACUUCCAAACUUGAGCGUUUAGAGGAAGUAAAAGUCGUAACA